rnacentral:lncRNA from 1 species
GUGUAUUUCCUGUAUCUCAGAUCAUAUCUAUGAUUGCUCACAUGGUGAGGUUACCUCAGGUCACCUCUGUAUGAUUGAACAUUGUGAGGUUACCUAAUAUUACCUCUGUAUUGCUGUACAUGGUGAGGUUACUCUGUAUUACUGCACAUACUUGUAUUACCACACUUUGUAUAAACUUUACAAAACACUAUUUUUUUAGUUUUCCUCAGGGC